CAAUUUCGAGUGCAAGUGCCACAGUGUCAGCUAAAGAAACACAACUGCGGGUUUUCUGCAGAGCGAAAUGGUUCUGAAAUGUCACUGAAUAGCUCACAAAGGACGCCAAUCUACGACAACAGAGGCAUAAGCAUAUAGGAGAAAGGGCCCACACAUCCUCCUUUCAAAGCUCACAUAAGGCUUACUUCAGGUCAGGAAAUGUCUUCUGUCUCCAAAGCACCUCACAGGAUGUGGAGAAAAGAGAGAGAAAAGGAGAGAAGAGUCAUGGACCCUACUUUAUGGUUGCCAUGGAGGCAAGGUCAGCCUUCCACACUUGGAUCUACCAGCAGAGUUCAGACAGGUCAACGUGUGACCGGCUCAGGCCCUGGGGUUAAAAGUUCAAGCAGCGAUGGAAAAACCAAUAUGUCCACACAGAGUAUGCUGUACAAUUUAUUUCAAUUUACAUCAAGCCAUGCAUAUAAAAUUUAGAUAAAUUCCAUUCAAAUCUGAUGUUGCCUGACACACAAUGUAUGCAAACAGAUGUCUGUGGGGCUUUUUCUGUGCUUUAGAAAACAACAUUAAAUUUAAAAAUAUGUCUCUGGGAUUUCUUUAUUGAAUUACAAAAUGAACAUAAUUUUAACUUAAAUGUUUUCAUUCUUUCUUCCAAUUUUUUUUGUGGGGAUCUUAAUAAUUUCUCAGUUCUCAAUCUACUCUAUGUCAUAUUAAAAAGGAUAAUGUAUAUUUACAA